CAGUCGCCACGGGAAUACGAGGGGAGCUAGCGUUAUUCGGAAUUACUGGGCGUAAAGCGCACGUAGGCGGCUUUGUAAGUUAGAGGUGAAAGCCCAGAGCUCAACUCUGGAAUUGCCUUUAAGACUGCAUCGCUUGAAUCCAGGAGAGGUGAGUGGAAUUCCGAGUGUAGAGGUGAAAUUCGUAGAUAUUCGGAAGAACACCAGUGGCGAAGGCGGCUCACUGGACUGGUAUUGACGCUGAGGUGCGAAAGCGUGGGGAGCAAACAGGAUUAGAUACCCCUGUAGUCCCUGUCUCUUAUAC
rnacentral:rRNA from 1 species